GAGGAGAUAACUGGGCCCGUGGGCUCUGCGAGGGGAGUCUCUCUGGGCAGGGCGGGUAUUGUGGAGCCGGGGCGGUUUGCCGUACAGGAUUACAGCGUGGCAACAGAUCGUUUGCAGCCGGCACGGUGCAGAGAGAGCCACUGUGCUCCGUGAGCCGUCUGCUCUCUUUAUCAGGCCAGCUGAUCAGACGACUCCUGUUACUCACGGUUACCCAGCAGCUAGGUUACUAGGAGACAGCCAGCCCCCCGGGAGGCAUGGUACAAGACAUGACACAGGAAGUGCUCUUGCACUCAUACAAAAACACAGACAGGACCAGACAUCUGAGCCCACUCCAGAGAGAGGAGCUCCGCUGCUCUGUGCCACGGCUUGCCAGAUACGGAGAGCGGCCCCCGGCAAAAUUAGGGCUGAGAUUACUCAUUACGAUUACCGCCGGCACUCACUCGGAGCCCGCAUCCUAUUAUUAGGAGCCUUCCAUCGCUCCGUGGUACCUGCUCUUCACAUGAAUAAUGAGUGCUGCUUCAGUUCUCCACAUAGUGCCUGGAAUGAACUGACUGGUGUCUCCCCUGCAAACACGCUGCUCUAUAAUAAUAAUAUUUUCACAUACAGUGGCGUGGCAUGCCUAAAUUUGAGCAUCCCUGAUCAAAACGUCUGUUACUGACCUGUUUGGAACCACGCCCACUUUAUCACAGACUGCCUAAAUAACACCAUUUGUACUCUCAUAAAAUAAUCCAUGUUUACCAACAAUAUUCAUUCACAUUCAUGCUAAAAAAAAAAAAAAAAAAAGGCAUCAAGCUAAAGAUGAAACAUUCUUUCAACAUUUUAAGCAAGAUUAGGGUAUUUUCUUUUUGUUUUUUUUUGCACAAUUUAGUGAAAAAAGGAAAGGGGUUGAUUUUAGCUCUCAGAUCACUUUGACCAAAGUCUCAGACCUUAAUUAGCUUGAAAGGUCGGGUCAAAGCUUUAUACCCUGACUCGUCAACCCAUGUCCCAACAUCCAGCAGCCAUGGGCUCCUCUAAGCAGCUGCCUACCCAGAGCUGCCAACAUUGUGUUUCAGAAAGUAGUAGCAAGCCGAGCGGAGCGAGGUGGAAAUGUUUUAGGCCGGGGGUCUGGGGGCCGCUGAGGCCCCCAGAAGCCAGAGACUUUACGUGAUCUGAGAUGCAAUCUAGGUCAUAUUAGGACAUGUUUUUCUGCAAAAAAGUGCAGUAUUUUGAGUGUAUAAUUCUUCUUUUCCCUGUACUGUUGCACACAAUUAUACACAGACAUACAUAAAAAGGUGUUUUAUUACCCAAACACAUGAAAUCAUACUGAAUUACCAAAUACAGUACUGACACUGUAGUGUCAGAUGGUGGUCACUCAGCACUGAACAUUAGAGCAACAUUAGAGUUCAACCUAAAAUAAAUAUUAAUAUUUCUCUACUGAUCUGUGCUACAAAUGUAAUUUCUGUAUAAUUACAAUCAUUUUAAGCAUUAUUAUUAAGCAUUUGAUUUUUACAAUCAAAAUCGCUGAAUUUGCGCAUGUCCUGUU
ensembl:lncRNA